UUAUUACUCCCUCCGUUCGGAAUUACUUGUCACAAAAAUGGAUAUAUCUACAACUAAAAUACAUCUAGACACAUUCAUUUUUUGACGAGUAAUUCCGAACGGAGGGAGGAGUAC
rnacentral:pre_miRNA from 1 species